rnacentral:SRP_RNA from 1 species
UCGCGCUAGACGGGGAGUUAGCGGUGCCCCUGAACCCGAAAUCCGCUUAUGCGGGGUUGAAGAUCCUUCUGGCGAGCCCUGAUUCAAGAUGCGUUUCAACACUUUGGGGUUGAUAUGGACCUCACGUAACAGGCACUUAUAAACCCCGUCAGAUCCGGAAGGAAGCAGCGGUAAGUAAGAAAGCCUGUGUCGUCGAGUGAAUCUAUAUGGUUUCCCCGGGUGGAGAAGUCAUGUUGUUCAGGUUUCAAAAAAGGAUGCGCGG